rnacentral:rRNA from 1 species
GCAUAUCAAUAAGCGGAGGAAAAGAAACCAACAGGGAUUGCCCCAGUAACGGCGAGUGAAGCGGCAACAGCUCAAAUUUGAAAUCUGGCCUCGUGCCCGAGUUGUAAUUUGUAGAGGAUGCUUCUGGCGACGCGCCUUCCGAGUUCCCUGGAACGGGACGCCAUAGAGGGUGAGAGCCCCGUCCGGUCGUGCGCCUAGCCUCUGUGAAGCUCCUUCGACGAGUCGAGUAGUUUGGGAAUGCUGCUCUAAAUGGGAGGUAUACGUCUUCUAAAGCUAAAUACCGGCCAGAGACCGAUAGCGCACAAGUAGAGUGAUCGAAAGAUGAAAAGCACUUUGAAAAGAGGGUUAAAUAGUACGUGAAAUUGCUGAAAGGGAAGCGCUUAUGACCAGACUUGGGCGCGGCGGAUCAUCCGGCGUUCUCGCCGGUGCACUCCACCGCCCCAGGCCAGCAUCAGCUCGCGCCGGGGGACAAAGGCUUCGGGAAUGUGGCUCCCUCGGGAGUGUUAUAGCCCGCUGCGUAAUACCCUGGUGCGGGCUGAGGUCCGCGCUCUGCAAGGAUGCUGGCGUAAUGGUCAUCAGUGACCCGUCUUGAAACACGGACC